CCUACGGGAGGCAGCAGUGUGGAAUAUUGGGCAAUGGGCGCAAGCCUGACGCAGCAACGCCGCGUGAGGGAAGAAGGCCCUCGGGUUGUAAACUUCUCUUAUUCGGGACGAAACAAAUGACGGUAACGAAUCAAUAAGCCACGGCUAACUACGUGCCAACAGCCGCGGUAAUACGUAGGGGGCAAGCGUUAUUCGGAUUUACUGGGUGUAAAGAGCGUGUAGGCGGGAUAGCAAGUCAGCCGUGAAAUUCCAGGGCUCAACGCUGGAACUGCGUUUGAAACUGUUCAUCUUGAGUGAUGGAGAGGCAGGCGGAAUUCCGGGUGUAGCGGUGAAAUGCGUAGAUAUACGGAGGAACACCAGUGGCGAAGGCGGCCUGCUGGAAAUUAACUGACGCUGAGGCGCGAAAGCGUGGGGAGCAAACAGGAUUAGAUACCCCGGUAGUC
rnacentral:rRNA from 1 species